UACGUAGGGUGCGAGCGUUAAUCGGAAUUACUGGGCAUAAAGCGUGCGCAGGCGGUUGGUUAAGUCUGAUGUGAAAGCCCCGAGCUCAACUUGGGAAUGGCAUUGGAAACUGGCCGGCUAGAGUGUGGCAGAGGGGGGUGGAAUUCCGCGUGUAGCAGUGAAAUGCGUAGAGAUGCGGAGGAACACCGAUGGCGAAGGCAGCCCCCUGGGCUGACACUGACGCUCAGGCACGAAAGCGUGGGGAGCAAACAGG
rnacentral:rRNA from 1 species